GAGUUUGAUCGUGGCUCAGAUUGAACGCUGGCGGCAGGCCUAACACAUGCAAGUCGAGCGGAUGAAGGGAGCUUGCUCCUGGAUUCAGCGGCGGACGGGUGAGUAAUGCCUAGGAAUCUGCCUGGUAGUGGGGGAUAACGUCCGGAAACGGGCGCUAAUACCGCAUACGUCCUGAGGGAGAAAGUGGGGGAUCUUCGGACCUCACGCUAUCAGAUGAGCCUAAGGUCGGAUUAGCUAGUUGGUGGGGUAAAGGCCUACCAAGGCGACGAUCCGUAACUGGUCUGAGAGGAUGAUCAGUCACACUGGAACUGAGACACGGUCCAGACUCCUACGGGAGGCAGCAGUGGGGAAGUAUUGGAC
rnacentral:rRNA from 1 species